rnacentral:rRNA from 1 species
AUUAAACGCUGGCGGCAUGCCUUACACAUGCAAGUCGAACGGUAGCGCGGGGCAACCUGGCGACGAGUGGCGAACGGGUGAGUAAAGCAUCGGAACGUGCCCUGGAAUGGGGGAUAACGUAGCGAAAGUUACGCUAAUACCGCAUAUUCUGUGAGCAGGAAAGCAGGGGAUCGCAAGACCUUGCGUUCUGGGAGCGGCCGAUGUCGGAUUAGCUAGUUGGUGGGGUAAAAGCCUACCAAGGCGACGAUCCGUAGCGGGUCUGAGAGGAUGAUCCGCCACACUGGGACUGAGACACGGCCCAGACUCCUACGGGAGGCAGCAGUGGGGAAUUUUGGACAAUGGGCGCAAGCCUGAUCCAGCCAUGCCGCGUGAGUGAAGAAGGCCUCGGUUGUAAAGCUCUUUCGGUUGGGGAAGGAAAGUUGCUUCGGUUAAUACCUGGAGUA